rnacentral:rRNA from 1 species
UACGUAGGGAGCGAGCGUUGUCCGGAUUCAUUGGGCGUAAAGAGCUCGUAGGCGGCUUGGCAAGUCGGGUGUGAAAACUCCAGGCUCAACCUGGAGACGCCACCCGAUACUGCCAUGGCUAGAGUCCGGUAGGGGACCACGGAAUUCCUGGUGUAGCGGUGAAAUGCGCAGAUAUCAGGAGGAACACCGGUGGCGAAGGCGGGUCUCUGGGCUGACACUGACGCUCAUGCACGAAAGCGUGGGGAGCAAACAGG